ensembl:rRNA 5S_rRNA 5S ribosomal RNA
AUCUACAGCCAUGCCACCCUGAACAUGACUGAUUUCAUCUGAUCUUGGAAGCUAAGCAAGGUCAGACCUGGUUAGUACUUGAAUGGGAGACCACCUAGGAAGACCAGGUACUGUAGGCU